UAUGCAAAUGACACAAUUGAGAAGGAUAGAUCUAUAAAUAUAGGUCUGGGGCCGGCCGAGUCGUAAUGCGAAAAUAAAUUAGUUUCUAAUUGUCUCGCAUUCAGAAGAGCGGGGCUCUAAUCGAGCAAGCAGGAGCCGCGUAAGAGCGUCCGCCGGCCGGCUCCUUUGUUCCGCGGCUCCGAAACGAGAAAAGGUGAAAAUAAAUAAUAAAUGGGCGACGGUAGGCGAUCGAUCGCGACGCAUCAGUCAGAGAGGAGAAGAGUAAAGAGGGGAAGAAACGGACAGCGACCGCUCGCUUGCCAAAUGGAGUGUCCGCUUUAUACGUUGUGGGGAAUUUCUUCUAUUUUGCCUAAGUGGUCAUUUUAAAAGAAUAAAAUAGGCAGCCUAAGUAGCGAGUUAGCAUAUUUGCUCAACCUUCCACAUGCCACGAUAAGGUGAGUAAUAACAAAUGACCAGGACCAGAGCCAAGCAGUUGUGGUCCACUGACCAGGACCAGAGGUGAGCUGCUGUGGCCUGUUGACUGGGAACAGAUGCGCAUGGUCAUGCUGCAUUGGCCAGAACCAGAGGCUGGCGGUUGUGAGCCACUGACAUGUAGCAGGUGCAAACAGUUGCGGUCCAUUGGCUGGGGACCAGAGGAGAGCCGUUGUGGUCAUUGUCAGCUAUGUGUUUUCAUUUCACCAGAGACCCUUCAUCCAAACAGUGUUCCAUCUGACUGUGGUUUUCCAGGUAUAAAUCAGCCACCAACUGAUCCCUCUCCAUCCUUGUAGAGCUCCCCCAAAUGCUCACAGUGCCUCUGUAAGUACUAGUAUUUUCAGAAGGACUGUCCAAAAUAUUCUAUGGUUUAACAAAGUGACAUUUUGUUCUAUGUUUGGGCUUUAGGAGUACGAGGACAUUGCUGUUGUACCUUUGAGUAAAGUGAGCAUAGAGCAGCCGUCUGGCUGGGAUUUGAUGCACCAAUGCGCCGGACUCAAGGGACAGAACAAACCAGAAAACUGCAGGAAGAGCUGUUUUUAAAAGUCAGACAAAAACCACACACACCUGGAAGUGAAAG